rnacentral:rRNA from 1 species
AGCGAACGCUGGCGGCAGGCUUAACACAUGCAAGUCGAGCGGGCAUCUUCGGAUGUCAGCGGCAGACGGGUGAGUAACACGUGGGAACGUACCCUUCGGUUCGGAACAACUCUGGGAAACUGGAGCUAAUACCGGAUACGCCCUUAUGGGGAAAGGUUUACUGCCGAAGGAUCGGCGCGCGUCUGAUUAGCUAGUUGGUGGGGUAACGGCCUACCAAGGCGACGAUCAGUAGCUGGUCUGAGAGGAUGAUCAGCGACACUGGGACUGAGAAACGGCCCAGACUACUAGGGAAGGCGGCAGUGGGGAAUAUUGGACAAUGGGCGCAAGCCUGAUCCCGCCAUGCCGGGUGAGUGAUGAAGGCCUUAGGGUUGUAAAGCUCUUUUGUCCGGGACGAUAAUGACGGUACCGGAAGAAUAAGCCCCGGCUAACUUCGUG